CUUUUUGAUAAUAAUUUAAGGUCCGGCCUGCCCAAUGAUUUUUAAAUGGCCGCGGUACUUUGACCGUGCAAAGGUAGCAUAAUCAUUAGUUUUUUAAUUGAAAGCUGGAAUGAAAGGUCAGAUGAGANNAUAGCUGUCUCUAUUUAAAUUUAUUAGAAUUUUAUUUUUAAGUUAAAAAGCUUAAAUAUAUGUAAAAGACGAGAAGACCCUNNAGAGUUUUAUAAUUUUAUUGUUUAGAGUUUUUAGUAUUAUAAUGUUUGAAGAAUAAAAUUAUUUAGUUGGGGUGAUUGAAAAAUUAGAUAAACUUUUUUUAUAUAAAAACAUUGAUUUAUGAAUAUAUGAUCCUUAUUUAGAGAUUAAAAGAAUAAAUUACCUUAGGGAUAACAGCGUAAUUUUUUUUGAGAGUUCAAAUCGAAAAAAAAGAUUGCGNCCUCGAUGUUGGAUUAAAAUUAAUUUUUGGUGUAGGAGCUAAA
rnacentral:rRNA from 1 species